rnacentral:rRNA from 1 species
GACGAACGCUGGCGGCGUGCUUAACACAUGCAAGUCGAACGGAAAGGCCCUGCUUUUGUGGGGUGCUCGAGUGGCGAACGGGUGAGUAACACGUGAGUAACCUGCCCUUGACUUUGGGAUAACUUCAGGAAACUGGGGCUAAUACCGGAUAGGAGCUCCUGCUGCAUGGUGGGGGUUGGAAAGUUUCGGCGGUUGGGGAUGGACUCGCGGCUUAUCAGCUUGUUGGUGGGGUAGUGGCUUACCAAGGCUUUGACGGGUAGCCGGCCUGAGAGGGUGACCGGCCACAUUGGGACUGAGAUACGGCCCAGACUCCUACGGGAGGCAGCAGUGGGGAAUAUUGCACAAUGGGCGGAGCCUGAUGCAGCAACGCCGCGUGCGGGAUGACGGCCUUCGGGUUGUAAACCGCUUUCGCCUGUGACGAAGCGUGAGUGACGGUAAUGGGUAAAGAAGCACCGGCUAACUACGUG